GUGAAUUCGGGUAUGUAAGUGGGAUGAGCCCAUACAUUUCGUUUCACCAGGAGUUAGUGAAUUCGGGUUUCUAAGUGGGAUAAGCCUAUACAUUCCGAUUCACCAGGAGUUUCGUGAAUGCUGUUCACUAGGAGGUUGAGCAGUGAUGAAGGCGGGCGGUGUUGAGCAUAGACGAUGAAGAUCCUUCGAUAGGAUAGUACUCGGAUGCGACGUGUCUCCAUACACGACGUUAUCUGCUCUUGACUCUUCCGCUGCAAUGUAAAAGUCGAGUUUGCGCUCUUUGUAUCGUGCACUCUGAUAUAUAUUAUUUGAGUUAUUUCGGUUCAA